rnacentral:rRNA from 1 species
UACGGGGGGAGCAAGCGUUGUUCGGAUUUACUGGGCGUAAAGGGCGCGUGGGCGGUCAGCACAAGUCAGUUGUGAAAUCUCCGGGCUUAACUCGGAAAGGUCAACUGAUACUGUGCGACUAGAGUGCGGAAGGGGCAACUGGAAUUCUCGGUGUAGCGGUGAAAUGCGUAGAUAUCGAGAGGAACACCUGCGGCGAAGGCGGGUUGCUGGGCCGACACUGACGCUGAUGCGCGAAAGCCAGGGGAGCGAACGGG